AUAUAUGUAUCCAUAUAUCCAUCCUGUUUGGAACUUAUGUUAAAGGAGAAUAUAGUAUUCAUAUACCCCCCCUCAUUUUCUUAUAUUAAAGCCUACUAGAUUAAAACAAGAAAUGACAUUUAAGUAGCUGGCUCAGAUAUAUAAAUGAAAACUAUGCAUUUGGCACUAUAGUUCCUAUUCACAGAAGUUUAUAAUUUACAAGUACAAAAACACAUACUCUAGUUCCAAGAAUUUCGAGAAGCCAAAUUAUGUACUCUAGGAGUGUCGGGUAAUCUCUACACUCUAAAAGCAAUUAAUAUAUGUUUAUGACUAGCUUAUUUACAAUUUUUGUUUGAUCCAAGACUAUGCUUUAUAUUUCAAAGCAAGCACAGAAAAAAAUAUUAUAUCAAACAGAAACAGCUUCUUCCUUCUGUAUCUCUGUAAACCUAAUUUUCCUUACAUAGCCAAUAAUGACAAUUAAAAGGAAAAAUUAAUCUACAAAAU
rnacentral:lncRNA from 1 species